AUACGGAGGAUCCGAGCGUUAUCCGGAUUUAUUGGGUUUAAGGGGUGCGCAGGCGGCCAUUUAAGUCAGCGGUUAAAUCGUGGGGCUCAACCCCAUUCUGCCGUUGAUACUGGGUGGCUUGAUUGCGGUCGAGGUUGGCGGAAUUCGUUGUGUAGCGGUGAAAUGCAUAGAUAUGACGAAGAACACCGAUUGCGUAGGCAGCUGACCAGACCGCAAAUGACGCUCAUGCACGAAAGUGCGGGGAUCGAACAGGAUUAGAUACCCUGGUAGUCCGCACAGUAAACGAUGAAUACUUGUUUUCGGCGAUAUAACGUCGGAGGCAAAGCGAAGCGAUAAGUAUUCCACCUGGGGAGUACGCCGGCAACGGUGAAACUCAAAUGAAUUGACGGGG
rnacentral:rRNA from 1 species